GUCCUAGCCGUAAACGAUGGACACUAGGUGUUGGCCCCGUCUGGGGUCAGUGCCGCAGGUAACCCGCUAAGUGUCCCGCCUGAGGAGUACGGCCGCAAGGUUGAAACUCAAAGGAAUUGACGGGGGCCAGCACAAGCGGUGGAACAUGUGGUUCAAUUCGAUGCUACGCGAAAAACCUUACCCAGGCUUGACAUGCAGGGAGUAAGAACCUGAAAGGGCGAUGACUCGUAUCCAGUCGAGAUCCUGCACAGGUGCUGCAUGGCUGUCGU
rnacentral:rRNA from 1 species